AACGAACGCUGGCGGCAUGCCUAACACAUGCAAGUCGAACGAGACCUUCGGGUCUAGUGGCGCACGGGUGCGUAACGCGUGGGAACCUGCCCUUAGGUUCGGAAUAACUCCCCGAAAGGGGUGCUAAUACCGGAUAAUGUCUUCGGACCAAAGAUUUAUCGCCUUUGGAUGGGCCCGCGUUGGAUUAGCUAGUUGGUAGGGUAAAAGCCUACCAAGGCGACGAUCCAUAGCUGGUCUGAGAGGAUGAUCAGCCACACUGGGACUGAGACACGGCCCAGACUCCUACGGGAGGCAGCAGUGGGGAAUAUUGGACAAUGGGCGAAAGGCUGAUCCAGCAAUGCCGCGUGAGUGAUGAAGGCCUUAGGGUUGUAAAGCGCUUUUACCCGGGAUGAUAAUGACAGUACCGGGAGAAUAAGCUCCGGCUAACUCCGUG
rnacentral:rRNA from 1 species